rnacentral:rRNA from 1 species
AUUAAACGCUGGCGGCAUGCCUUACACAUGCAAGUCGAACGGUAGCGCGGGGCAACCUGGCGACGAGUGGCGAACGGGUGAGUAAAGCAUCGGAACGUGCCCUGGAAUGGGGGAUAACGUAGCGAAAGUUACGCUAACACCGCAUAUUCUGUGAGCAGGAAAGCAGGGGAUCGCAAGACCUUGCGUUCUGGGAGCGGCCGAUGUCGGAUUAGCUAGUUGGUGGGGUAAAAGCCUACCAAGGCGACGAUCCGUAGCGGGUCUGAGAGGAUGAUCCGCCACACUGGGACUGAGACACGGCCCAGACUCCUACGGGAGGCAGCAGUGGGGAAUUUUGGACAAUGGGCGGAAGCCUGAUCCAGCCAUGCCGCGUGAGUGAAGAAGGCCUCGGUUGUAAAGCUCUUC